rnacentral:lncRNA from 1 species
GGAAUUAGGGCUCAGGUUUUGUCUUAUUCUCCGAGAAUUCAGAGGAAGGCGUUGGCCUAUCUUCUACUUCAAAUCUAGGGUUCGCCAAUCUGAUUUUGAUUGGUCCGAUAAUCAGGUACACUUUCUGUUAUUCCCUCUUUAAUUAGGUUUUGGCUUACCUCUAGCAAUCUAGAAUGAUGAAAUUAUCAUAUGCAUCUCUGUAUAAACCUAUUAUACUUAUGGAAAUUGCUCUUAUUUUACAGAAUAUAGUAUUGGCCAAAUCGAAUAGAUUGCGGAUUUUAAUUACUCUCUAGCCAACUAUUGCUUUCUCAUCUUCCAAUAAUCUUAGUAAAUUUCUCAAGGAACAGAGAAAUAUAGUUGUAAAUCCAAUAUUAUAGUAAGCUUAUAAGUUAUUAACAAUACGAUAGAGUAAAAAAAUAAAAUAAAUACUACUAUUCUCUUGGUUCCAGUUUCUGUGGCUAUAAAUUGUUUCGUUAAUCAUAAAAUGAGAAGUUAAAGGUGAAGUGCUAUUUCUUUUAUAGACCAAAAAGGAAAGAGUGUUACAUCAUCGAACGCUAUAGUCUAUUCAAACAUUACAUCCACAGAACAGUUGGUAAAAUACAAUACAGUACAAAAUGAUACAUUAUAGAAAUAAGAAGCCAAAUAUAGUGUCAAAUCUUGUAGAAAACAGAAGAACUAACUAUUAGUUCAUCUAUUGUUGGUGGGAGUGUCAUGUGGUGGAGUGAGUCCAUGGAGAGGUGAGGCAGGUAGGGACUUAGCCAUGAUUUGUGUACUUCGGUUUGAUAGAAUUGACGUGGAUGUCUUUCUUGCAUGCACAAAUUUUUCUUUUGUCUUGAUUAUGAGGAAGAACACCAGACGAUACAAAAUUAGUAUACCGACCAGAAUGACCAUGUCUACCCACUUUGAGUGUCCCAUUUCUGCUUGCCAUCUUUCUCUCAAGAUGACUUCUCCACUCAUUAUAUGAUUGUUUGCAAACAUAUCAUCUCUAAACUUUAGUCCUUCAAAUUCAUUCUUGAACAUACCUUGGUAAGCAUACUUGUGGAAGGACAUGUAGUAUAGUGGGUAUUUCCAAAGUAUUUUAGGCAACUCACUCGGUAAUUGAAAAUAACCACCACUUAGUAUUUGUAGUCCUUGUAUUCCUGCCCCCGCUACAAUGCCCAUUAGGAAGUUCGGUACAAUAGCUGCAACGUUCAUCAUUAGGCUCUCCACUAUCAUCAUACUGAUGAAGAGGACCAAAGCAAAGUAGAUGAAGUGCUCAAAUCCAUUUUGAAAUCCAGCAAGGAAAUAGGCAAUGGCACCUGGAACCAAUGAUAUUAGUAGCACGUACGGUAUAGAAGAAAGUGUGUUGCCUAUGACAAAAGCAAAACAUCCAUAGUGCCCGUUCACAUUUUCUCGUUGAAAUACCUGCAGUAUUUUUGUCCAAGCAGUUAAUUAAGUACUCACGAUCGUACAAAAUAAAUCAUAUAAUUUGUUAAUUGUUUUAAUUUAAAGAGAAAAUGAUACUACCUUCAUUUCCUCCACAAAUGAAGGGAAUCCACCGACCGUCAUAAAUGUCAUAAAUGAAACUACGAAAGCAACCAUUAGACCUCUUUCCUGCAAUAUCCAAGACCGUGUUAUGAUCCAUAAAUUGUGUGCACGUCAAGAAGAACUGAAAAGUACUUAGAAAUUAAGUUUUAAAAUUUAAUUGGUGUUUCCUUGUCUGUGUUCUGUCUAUCUAUACCUCAAUUGACCGAUAGUUUGAGCCAACAUUAUAGUAGAUGGAGCCAAGACUUAAAGCAAUGGCGACAUAAACAACGAAUCUCAUCCAAUAGUAGCCAGGAUCACGAAACAUGUUCACAGUUGACCUCCUUGUAAGAACAAGGCAUUGCGUCUUGAAGUUAGCAUGGCUUCUUUUUUUCAACAUUUCACCACCCUGAAAAUAUUUAAUGGAUGCAAUUAGAGAGACUCCGUUCUCAUCUCCUUUCCAUUUUGGGGGUUAACUCUUUCUUAAUUACCUGAUGACAUAUUUCUGCAACAUGGCUCUGAACUUCAUGAUAUCCCUCUGAUGAUUUAUAUGAAUUUAUGAGAAGGUCUAUAACUUCUUCUGUUGGUCGUCUUCCUCCAGCUGAGCCUUGUUCAAUAUCCUUUAAAUAGGAACCAAGAUAUAAUUUAAUAAAAGGGUAACAUUAAUUGGUUUCUCUUAGAAAGAGGAAACAUUAAUAUUUACCUCAUCAAAGUCCUUGUUUAUUGUUUUAAGAAAAUGAUCUGAUGGAUUCUGAAGAUAUGGGCAAGGGAAACCAUUCCUCGUGAAAAACUAUCAUAAUAAAAAACAUAGAAACUAAUCAAAUCAUUACAUAUAUCACUUGUAUUAUAUGCCCAUUAUAUUACUUUGCAAGUUAAUAGUUGAAUAAUGAAUAUAUAUAUAUACCUCAAUUGCUGCACUAGCAGGUCCAAAAUAUACGGUUCUUCCUGAAGACAAAAGGCAUAAACUGUGGAAAAGGUUGAAAACUUCAGCACUUGGCUGAUGAAUGGAUGCAAUAAUGGUUCUUCCCUCUCUUUGACGUGAAAUUCCGCUCAUCACGUAAUAAGAUGCAGCACUGUCGAGGCCGCUGGUUGGUUCAUCAAGGAAAAGAAGUUUUGGCCGCGUUAGAAUCUCCAUGCAAACACUAAGUCUUCUCUUUUCUCCUCCACUAAUUCCUUUAUUUUCAAAUCCUCCAAUUCUUGUGUUCAUUGCAUCUUGCAACCCCAUCUCCUUAAUAGUCUGCUCUGCUAUUUGUUUUUUCUCUGAUUUUGUCAUGGAAACUGGGAGUUGGAGUUGUGCAGAGUAGUAAACUGCUUCUUGAACUGUUAGUGUUGCUAACAGAGUUUCAUCUUGAGUCACAUAUGCCUGAUUUUAUAGGAUAAAGAACAUUACCAUGCAUGCUAAUGAAAAAAAUAUAGUAAUGUUAUUGUGAAAAAAGGAAAACAAAAUGAGUAGUGCAUGCGGCAUUCAGCUGAAGAUUUUAGUUUCUUACAGAUGUUCCAUACGAAAGUUUCUGUUUGUGACCAUUGAUCAGAAUUUCCCCGCUCUGCCUCGUGCUGAAAUCCAGUCGCCCUGGGAGGUGCCCAUCAGGUCAGUCAUAUUUCGUAAAAACAACUAGCAUUAUAGCUGUUAUUUUUGUCCCCAUUGAAGAUAUUAUAUGCAUCAUUUUCUAAGAGAUAUAGUAACAGUAGUAAUAUUUACCAGCUAAGGAAUCGAGAAGUGUAGAUUUGCCACAGCCAGAAGGACCCAUAACGGCCAAGAGCUCACUAGGUCGAGCAUAGCCAGUGAGACCUUUAAGUAUGGAUUUGCUUCCACCUUUUUUAGUGCUAACAGUAACCCAUAAGUCAUUCCAAGUCAAGAAAACGCCUCCACUUUUUGAUACCAUUUGUCCUUUCUCAGCAUUAUUCAACUCUACUUCCUGUAACUCCAUAUCCAAAUUUACAGAAGCCAUGCAAUACCGUGAAAAUUUGUAGGAAAUACAAAGACUAAAAGGUGGUUUAUUUCUUUUUCAUGCAAAAGGUAUGGGGUAUUUAAGGAGGUUGUAGUCAUCUUUGUCAGCUAGGGCUUUAAUGAGAUAAUAUGUCAAAAAAUAUCUUACUAUUACAAACAGUUCAAGGGAACCAACUCAUUUAUGUUUCUCUUUGGAGUCUGCAUUUUCAUCUAUUAAUGGCUCGUUCUCAUCCUAACUCUCAUUUUUCUUUUUUUUAUUCCCUCUUGUCAACUCUUGCUUCUUUGAUUUGAAUAUUUUUUUCUUUCAUGAAGUUUGGGACCAUGGUAGAGAUGGUCAGAUAUCUCUAGUAAUUCGUAACCAGUAUGGAAGUCGCUUUCUUUUAAUACUAUGUAUAAU